GGAAGGUGUGCGGCACAGAGUGAGUGUAAGUUGCUGUGGGUGAGCAGCAGAUCUUCAUGUCUGUCCUGAAUGUCAUGAUCAUGGGGAAAUGGGAAAUGCCGGUUUGGAUCCCACACGUGCAUGCCCACACACAUCCUUUCCUUUGGGUGUGCCUCUGGUCUAACGUCCAGUGCCUCUGUCUCACCAGUGCCCACUCCUUCCUAUCGGGGCCUGUUCCCCACUGGCUCCAGGUCUUCCACUCCAGGAAAGGAGAGUCCCACUGAAGAACCCACCCUAACCCACUGACAGGCCAUCACAGCCACCCCCUUUCUGGUUAUCCCACAGCCUUUGUGUAAGGCCUUCAAUAGUGUAGCUCCAAAGGAAGGCCAACGGAGAACUGGGGGGGGGGGGUGGAAGAGGACACUAAGAAGCCAUUGAGGUGCCCUAAAAUUCAAGUUAGCUGCCUGGGUGUGGCCUGGCCUAUGCAGGGGUCUUGGGAGUCAAAUGGGCAGUGCGGAGCCCACCCCAGGCUCAGUGCACGUGGGUGCUGGGAGAAUGGUGCCCAAGACCUCAUGUGGCCUGUGCCAGGAGAGGGCAGUCAGGUGCUGGGCCUGCUGGGCCGCCUGCUUGGCACGUGCACCUUUUCUCUUUUGAGGCUCACCUUCCUCCAGAGUACGAGCUGCUCAGGGCCAGGACCAGAGCUCACAGACCAGAGGUCCUGGGGUUGAACCAGCUGCCUGCACAGAGUCCCAGAUGGUUGUCAUGAGUGACCUAUUUCAUAUGCAGGUCAGGAUUUCUGGCUUCUAGAAAAACCAAAAUCUCUGGCAGCCUGGGCCCCUGUUCCUGUCCCCUGCUGUGGCAGUCAGGACUCUCAAGGUGGCCUGGACCCCACCUGCAGCAGGCACCGAGUGUGUGACUCCCAGGCUGACUACCUUCUGAGAGUCAUGGAGCAGAAUCAAGGACGUCAGGGAACCUGUCCCAGUGCUGUGACGUGCUCUCUGUCCCCUGCCCUGCAGCUUCACACAGGCCAUGCUGCGCCAACCCAAGAUGGAGGGCCUGGAUAACCCCGCCGCCUUCUGCUUGGGCCUGGUGCUCCUGGGCGUGGGCACCUUGUUUGUGCUGUCCAGCUUCUUUGCACUUGGAUUCACCGGAACCUUUCUAGGUAAGACCCAGGGCUGGGGGAGCUUGAGCAGGUACACUGGGGUCCAAGGAUGAGUGGGGCCCCGUGGCUGUCACCUGCCAUCUGUGACAUUCCCUGGGAAGCACCAGGGACCCAGCUGACUCCCAGCUCCACCACCACCUCUGGGUUUGGCCUGUCCAUGGCUAAAAGGGGGGGGGGGUUGGGCUCUACUAUCUCAUCUGACUCCUGGACAGUGGACUUGUGCCUCCUGGGGGGGCAAUGAGGGCUCUCCCUGCUGCCCUGAGCAGGGCCCACAUUUACCUCACAGAAGGCCCCCUGGGGUCCUGUUGGCAUGGACAGAAGCAGUGGUAACUCUUCCUGGGUGCACGGUCACAGCCAUGCCCUGCUAGCCCUGGGGAGCUCCCAGAAUGCUUGGCUGCCAGGCCAGAUGGGGUCUUGGCUUGUUGUGUUUGGGCCACCAGUAGGGCUGGCACAGGCCUAGGGUGGGGUGCAGGGUGGAGGGGCAUUGUCUCUUCUUCAUUCUUCAGUCCCUAUGGCUCUUAUACUUUGGGAAUGGGUGCCCAGUGCUGGCCUGGCCAGACAUCCACUCCCUGCCAUGAUAACAGCAGCUUCCAGCUCCUUGGAAACCUGGGAGCUGAGGGCAAAACCAGCAGGAGGAGGCUGGGGCAGGGGCAGAGGGAGGCUGGCAGCUGCCCGUCCAUAGAGGGAGCUCCUCCCACAUGCAGGCUCUACCUAACGUGGUCCUUCCUCCCUCUCCAGCCCCUGGCCAGAUGCAGACUCUGGGCCUCAGCCUUCUGCAGGGCCUGGUGGCAGUCCAUGGGGUCCUGCCAGCUUGCCUGGCAUCCCUGUGCAGAGUGCCCCAUCCACCUUGGCCUUGUCCCCAGGAACCAGCCCCAAACUCUGUGUGACUGUGUGUUCAGGACUAGCUAGGCCCAAAGGGAUCAGAUGUCACUGAGCCCUGCUUUCCUGGCUGCCUGGGCAGGGCCUUGCUGGGACAGCGGGAGUGGGCAGCACUGCCCUUGGUUCUGUGCUUCCUGCCCAGGCAGGCGCUGCAGGGAGCCGCCCUACAAGAGCAGAGAUGGGGACCCUGGGAGAGGGGAGCUGCGCAUCUGGGUCUGCAGGUGCAGGCAGGAGAAGACAAGGCCUUAGGACAGAGGAAUGGGGGGCUGACAGGGCAGCAGGACACAGCUGUAUAGGGGCACAGCCAGGGCAGGACUGGAGGUCAGGCGGAGGACCCCGUCAUGCAUGGGGCUAAGCGAGGCUUCAUUCUGAGGGAGCUGGGAGCAGGGAAGGGGACCCGUAUGGAGGAGCAGGGACUGGUGGGACUGAGACUGGAGGUCGGGAACCCUGGGUCAGGAAGUGGUCCUCGCCAUGCUGGGGGCAAGAAGACCAGGAGGGCUCUGCCUGGACCUGGGGGUAGGGAGUGCCUGGGGCUACUGGAGGACGGGGUGCAGCGCUGUUCAGAGGUUAGCACCCCGCAGUGGUGGAGGCUUGGGUGGGUAUGGACACGAUGGCUGCAGACCGAGGGCUGGUGGAGUCCUGGGGAGGAGGAAGGACACCCUGAGGCUGCUGUGGGUGGACAGUUAGAAGAGCCAGGCAGAGUGCUGGGUGACUGCAGCUUUGGGACGGACCUCCCCAGAAGAUGUGGCCUAGAAAUGCUAGAGGGACCCAACAGGCGCUGGAUGUAGGCCAAGGCGGUCACUUCCUCAGGAAGGAGCCCGAAGAGCCUCUCCCCACCACCUGCCUCCAGGCCCCACUGCCCCACUUCCCACUUCCUGGGAAGAAAGAGGCUCCCAGCAGUCUUCUGGUGGCUCCUCAGGCCCCCUGCACUCUUUGUCCCCAACAAUGGGCUGCACUGUGCCUCCCAGGCCCCUCCUACUGGUGGCUUCUCCUUGUCAUGCUGCUGCCCUACUUUCUGGUGGAGAUGAAGCUCUGUCUCCCCCAGACUGGCAGGAAACAAAGGCAGGAUGUCUGGGAGAGGAGGCGGGGAGGGCGCGGGGCGUCCUUUAUUGAACCGCAGUACGGAGCCUGUGAUGACUGCCUGUGAUCCCUCGGUCACUUCUUCCUGCCCAGAGCAGUCCUGCAAGAAGCCUGAGGUGGCCCCUGUCUUCCCCCGAGGGAGAGCAGUUGGCCAGGGUGGGGGGGGAGGGGGGAGCUAUGAAAAGAAAUGCCCAAGGCCAAGAGGGGACAGCACUUGCAAAGUCACAGAGGCAAGGAAGAAGUGCAAGGCCAGUAUGGGGGAGCUCGGAGAUAGAGGGCUGAGCAGGUGCUGAUGUGGGGUGGGGCUCAGCAACCCAGACCCUGGGGCCUCGCACCCUCCAAAGCAUCUGCGGCUUGUGGGGGGCCCUCUGAUGGCUGUGUGUGCUGAACCUGCCCCCCUGAUGGCAGGGCCCUGUCUUACCUUCCUCAGGAAUGGUAAGUCCAGGGGACGUAAAUGGCCCGGUGACCCUCCCAUCCUGCCCUGCCUCAUCCACAGGUGAUUACUUUGGGAUCCUCAAGGAGGCAAGAGUGACCACAUUCCCCUUCAACAUCGUGGACAACCCCAUGUACUGGGGGAGCACGGCCAACUACCUGGGCUGGGCCGUCCUGUGAGUACCAGCCUGUGCCCCACCUGCUGGGCCCCGGAGGGGGAGGUCAUUCAGGGAGCCAAGGGCAUCUGGGUUCUGAUUUCUUAGGAGUUUCUUAUCUGUGGCAACAGGAACAACCUCCCAGAACAGGGUUUGGUGAGCUUCCUUUUAAAGGGCCAGGGAGUUCAGGGCCACAGGCAGGGCAUAGCCACUCAGUUGUGCCCUGUAGCACAAGUAUGUGCAGAGACAUGGGGAACAGUGGGUGUGGGCCACGCAGCUUCAUGUGUGGACACUGAAGUUGGAAUUUCAGGUCAUUUUCAUGUGUCAUGAAAUAUUCUUUGGAUUCUUUCACCUGUUUAAAAAUGUAAAAAGUGUUCUCUGUCUUGGGGCUGGUGUUUGCUGAGCCCUGAAUUAGCACGUUAGGGCUGAGAAAUCCCCAAGCAAUGUGCUGGUCCCACAUGCCAGAGGGGCCACAUGAGCCGCCCAGGAGCACAGAGCCAGCCCUGGCUGACCAAAACCCCUAUGUCCUCCAGGGCGCUCCUGACAGGGGAGCUGGUCCGAACCUGUGCGGUCAGAUGCCCUCCUCCCACAGAGAGCCACCUGGUGCCAGUGCAAGUGGGCCCAGGACCUCAGUCUGCCAUGGUCAGUGUGGGCACUAACAAGACCCUGUGGUGAAGGAGGCUGUACUGUGGGCCCUCUGCCUGCUUCUGCAAACCGUGCCCUCCCCGCUCCUGCCUGGCAGCUCAGAUCAGUCCAUUUUCUUCCGUUUUUGGAGAGUUUUUUGUAGGAAGCAUCUUUGCUGCUUUUAUUUAACAUUUGAAAAUUACUUGUCUAGAAUGUUGUAGGUGUUCUCAGAAACCAGAAGGACCCCAAAAGAUUAGAUCCCGCAGAGUGGAUGUCAGGAGCAAGAUGUUCCCUCCUGAGAUCACAGCCGCUAGGGUCAGUGACGAGAAGCUAGAAGGGGCUUGCGGGUCUGGCUGGGAGCCACCCUGCCCUCACCCACACCCAGACCACAUGGUCCCCAGCCCUAUAAGCUCACCUGAGGACCGUCCCUCCCACUUGCCUUCAGCACAGCCCCUCUUGCCUGGACCUGGGCAGUGGACUUUGAUAAGGGGCAGAUGUGCCUGUCACCAGACUCACUCAGCACACAGAGGAUCCAAGGACCCUGAGGAAGAGCUCAGAGUGAGACAGGCCCUCUUCCCCGGGUUCUGCUGGCAGCCUCCCGAUUCCCUGACACACCGACACCCCUCUAGGGCCAGCGCAUGCACACACACACACACACACACACACACACUGCUGCUCCUGCCCAGAUCCCCCACUCCACCCCUGGUCAGGCCUUCCAAACCCACCUUAAGGUGCUCCCUCUGCUAGGGAAACCUCCUGGCCCGUGGGGGCCCCUCUGUUCUCCAAACCCCCUGUGCUGGAAUUAGCAAUCAGUGGCCUUUCUCUCCAAGGGAAGCACCCAUACACAUGUCCCCAGCUGUCUGGUGCCCAGAGUGAAAGUCACCCUGGAACACAUAACACCUGAGAGCUGCCUCCAAGGACGUUAGCCACACAGCGUUGAGGAGAGGCAAGGGCUCAUUAGAGACGAGCCAUUACCCAUCUGCCAGACGAUGGUUCAGCAGGGCCGCUUCCAGGACACCCACAGCCCAUCCAUCCACCAGGGCCCCAUGGCUGAGCACCCAGGCAUGGCACCUGGUGGACCAGGAUGAGGGGUUCCUGAGGGACGUGAGGCUGGACAUGGUGUAGAGCCCCUGUUCUCUCCAGGACGCCAUCUCAGCAACCCUCCAACAGGGGCUGGGUUCCUCUGUCCCUUGUCUGCAGAGCAGGACUGGCAUCUCCAUGUUAAGGUGUCAGGAGGCCAAGCUGGACCUAGGGUGACCUCAGAUGGGAAAAAUUGGAGGAGAUGAGAAGAAGAAGGGGUUUAAGAGUGCAUAUCUUUUCCCCUCUGGGCUAACGGGACUGUCCCACCCCCAAAUCCCACCACACCCUUCCCCACUUCACCCAUAGGCCCUGGGGCCAUCUCUGCCCUGGGGGCAGUGGGGGCCUGUUUUGUGGUGCUGGCUGAGGUCUGAGAAGGGGUGGCAUCCUGCUCACACUGCAGGUCUGAGGUGCAAAGUCGGGGUGUCCCACCUGUCUCUCUGCUGGGUGGAGUGGCUGCCAGGGGGCCUUACCCUCGGGGUCUUGACCUGAGGCUGGGGAAGGCUUUUAAAGGGCUUUCCAAGUCCCUCCCUGGGGCCACUCCAGUGACUCCUUUGGGUGCUGGGGUCUGUUUCAUUUUGGAAUCAUGGAAGGAAGUGAAGAUGGAUCAGUCCAGCCCCUCCCACAACAGGUGGGGAAACAGACUGAGGGCAGGCCCGCCCCCGGCCACAGAGCUACAGGAGGGAACUGUGCACCCUCCUGUGGUGGCUUGCCGUCAGCUGGUGGGCAGGGGAGAGCUUUCCUAUGGGCUGAGCCCCAAACAGGUGACUCAUGUGAAUGAGCCUGGGCCUGUUCACAGGCAAGGAGACUUGGCCAAGGCAGGUCUAUCUGGGGUCAUCCCAACCAGCUAGCCCUCCCCUCCAAAGUCAAUCACGGCCUGUAGGACCCUGUGAGACGGGGACCAUGGCCAAGGACCAGGUUUCUCCCUGAGCCUAGCAGGAGACAGAGUGGCUCUUCAGCCAGGAGGAACAGGUGACCAUCACAGGGUUCCCUGUGGCCCUCUCACAGUGCAAGAGAGGCCGAAAGCCACCCCUGCUAGGAUGAGGAGGGCUAGACUCCAGCCCCCGGGCCUUCCACCAUUCCAAGUUCCAAGUCUGUACCCCAAAAACGUCCUCUGUGAGUGGUGGGGCAGAGGAGACGAAGAGUCCUACUUUAGAGCCCUGCUGACCUCUGGGGACCUGAUUCUCUGGGAAGACACAAGCUGAGAUUAGAGAGUUCAGCUCAGGGACCCGCUGCUCACAGAAGCUGCCAGGCCACAUCCACCCCUGGUCACUGGGGCUCCUAGGGAGCUUUGUCCUGAGCAGUAAAGAAUCGGUCCUGGGGAUACCACAAGCUUGGGGCCACCAGAGGUGCACCCUGGGGCCAGUCAGCCUGCUCCUGCCAGCCUCCCCAUUCCCUGGGAUGCCUGGUGUGUGCUGAGAGGCUCUGCUCGUUCUAGAAGACCGUCGUGGGGCAGGGAGGGAAGCCCAGGUGGGCAGACUCCAUGUCUACCCCGAAAACGUCUCUGGUGUCACAUCUCCAUGUGGCAGUGAGCCCACUCUAGGGACAGUGGCAGAGGUGGGGGCUGAGCUGUGGGGUCAGGCAGGCUUCUCAUUCCAUGUCGUGCAAGGCCGGGGUUCUGUCCUCCUCAGUGCCCACAGAGAGGAUGCCACUGGACCCUGGGCCCAGCACUGGAGCCUGGGCUCAGGAUUUUGUUGUAUCUGCAUCUGCUCUGUCUCCUCCCAGAGCUCCCAGACGGACAGACUUGUGAGGUCCAGGUGCCAGGGAGUGGGAGGGGCAGAGAGUCCCUGCAGGGACCUCUGCUUUGGGGCUGCCCCCACCCAGGGAGCCUGUGCUGGCUGGCUGGAGGGCAGCCAAGGAGAGCCUGAGGCCUGGCUAGUGUUGCCCACUGCCUCCUCCUGGGCCCCGACUGUGCCUCACCAGCAAGCCCUCAUCUCUCUCCCGCUGAUCUGGACGCAGCAGUCCGGCCCCUGCGGGAGCUGGUGGGAUCAGAGGUAACUGUAGAAAUAGCUUGGGGGACAGCUUGACAGCAGCUAUUUUUGGAAACCUGAGGCAGAUGCUCAGAGGCUCCUCAAUGCCGUCACUAACAAGCUGCCAGCGCUCUUCGGCACAGCAAGGUCAGAGGCUGGUCACCAGCAGAGAGCCUGUGACAGAUGCUCUGGCCAGGCCUGGGCCCACUGCACGCGUUGCCUGGGGCUGUACAACCUCCGGGCCAGGGUGGGGGCUUCAGCUGGGCCUGCGCGGGCAAGGCUGCCUACCUACCACCCAGGCGGCCUGGCCAGGGCUGGGGUGGGGAGGAAGUGGAGCCUCCUCCCCCCAUAGCCAGAGCGUUCAGGGCCGUGGCUUUAGGGGCUGCACCUGUGGGCAGGGCCUGGGGCUCAGGUGGCAGGAACUGCCAGCGGGCUGUGUGUUCUGGAGGGCCCAGACUAGCUUUCUAGAAAAUUCUUGUUUCCUAACAACAUUGUCCCUGGUAGGUGGGGGGAGCGUUUUCUGCCCCAGAAGAAUCUCCUGGGCACAAGAGAACAGGCUCCCCCAGUGUCCUGAGCUCCAGCCUGGCCUGAGACAAAGAAGGGGUGCAGGCUCCACCCCAAGAGGACCCAGCCAUCCAGGAGAGGCCGAUGGAGAGACGGUCAGGACUCAGGACCCUGAGGAUGGGGCACUGGAAGUCCAGCUCAGGAAGCUGGGCUCAGGAAUAGCUCAGCUCGUUUGUCCCCAGUGGUCCCAGUGUCAGCCGAGCACCUGCUGUGGUAGCAGGAGGCGGCUGGACCCCACUGACCAUGCAUCUGUCCCCACAGACAUGCCAGUCCCACGGGCCUGCUGCUGACGGUGAUGGUGGCCCUUGUCUACAUGGUGGCCGUCCUGUAUGAGGAGUGAGUAGGGGCCGGCAGGGCAGGGGUCAGUGUGAUCGGCCUUUCCCUGUGGCCAGGCAAGCUCUGCGGCUUCUGCCCACUGGGCCACGCCAGUCACAGGUUGGGAAGCUCAGAGGGGUCGCGUCUAGGGCCUGCGAGACCCAGGCACAUGGGCAGGAGGCCCUGGACCCAUGUGGCUUCUCCCACACUCUGAAGGCUCCCAGCAGCUCUGGGUGACAGUAAGGACCUGGUCCCGUUGGCACUGGGGGCAGGGCAGUUUGAGUUCUGGUGGGGCAGGGUGGGACAGGGCUGUGGUGCCUGGCCAGCCGACUGAAGCCCUCCCUGCUCCACAGGCCGUUCACCGCGGAGAUCUACCGGCAGAAGGCCUCCAGGUCUCACCGGAGGAGCUGACGGGUCCCCAGCGGCUCUGCCAAGGGCCUGCCCACUGCGAGGACGCAGCCUGCUCUGGGAGAGUGGUGCUGGGCCACUGCUCCUGCUGUGCCCAGCGUGGGCUGCUCCAGUGCCUUGGAAACCACUGCCUCGGGGGCCCUGGACAUGCUGCCGUGUGGCCACUGAGCCCCCCGCCCCUCCGUCCCCUCUGUGCCCACACUCGCCAAUAAAGACCCCCUGACCCCGGCACCCCCUCCAGGUCUCUUUCCACCCUCAUCCUCGUCCUCAUGGGGAAGGGGCAGGCUGUGGGCUCCUGGGGGGCGGGGCAGGGCUGGAUAUCCCUUGAGGUUCCCGGCCAGGCAGGCGCUUCCUCUGGAUCGUCCCAGGGCUGAGGUGGCACCGCGGUCCAGGCCUCACGGGAAAGGCACUCAGUGGUUCUCCCGGCUGUGGCCACAUCCUCACCCCUGGGCACCUUCCCCCCACCCCAGCACUCCCAGGACACUCCUCGCUGUCCCUUUCCUCUGGGUCCA
rnacentral:lncRNA from 1 species